UUCCCCUUCCCCUUCCCCUUCCCCUUCCCCUUCCUCUUCCUCCUCCUCUUCCUCUGGCUCCUUUUGGUUUGAUCUUUGUUUAAUUUUGGUCUCAGGGUAAAAAUUGACUUCAUAAAAAAAUUGAAUUUGAGACACUUUAAAUUACUGCUUUGAUUUCAUUGGUUGUUAUGUGUCUCUGUAAAUUAUUUGCUUCAUCUUGAUU
ensembl:miRNA Gm27672 predicted gene, 27672